AUGGAACGCCUCUCUCGGCGUCAGCGGUUCACACCCUCUCGACAUCGGGCUGCCGCCCCUCUGCGGCGACGAGAACCUCGACGUCGGCCUGCCGCUCCUCCUCGGGGACAGGUGCACCUCCUCCAGCGCCCGGUGCUGGAGCUCCGGCGGGUAGUCCCUGACGCAAAUGAUCCGGGGUCCGGCGCCGGUGGUCCACUUGAAGGACCCUUGCUUCCCCAGCUGAUAUGA
rnacentral:rRNA from 1 species